rnacentral:tRNA from 1 species
AGGAUAAUAAUUUAUAAAAAUAUUUAGGUUGCAUCUAAAAAAAAUUGUUAAAAACAAUUUAUCUUU